ACCUCCGUAAAGAUGAUCUCUGAUGAACAGACAUGAUCAUGCCUGGAGAACAGGGAUGGACAGUCCCGCUUCUGAAAGACCCUGUCUGGCUGAUGAUUCAUGGUGCGCCGGGCAGACCCCAGGCCAAGAGACCCCACCCACAGUACCUGAGUGCUCAGCUGGGAACCAGACCAGACCUCAAAACAGGUUUGCAGAAUUAAGAUGAGGAGCUGAGCUCAACACAGCCUCCGCAGCUCCCCAGGGCGGGCCUGAGCCGAGGGAGAGCCCAUGGCCAUCAGGGUGCUGGAAUGCAUGUCACACUGCAUUACGUGCAUUACGAUCCACGCUGCAAUGACAGCCCAGAGCGUGGAGAACCCAGAGAGGGUGGGGAGAUGGAAUCCCGGCGAGCCAGCGCUGGCAGGGACCACGGGGAGCAGCUGGUCCAGCCGCCGGUUUUCCAAGAGAGAAGACUAAGAAGUGAGUCACUUGCCCACAGCCACAGAGAGAAGGAGGGCAACGAGGCCGGCAGGUCAGCAGCGAGCAGUUAGUUCAAGGCCUUGAGGGCUUCCACUAACUUUGAAGGGCGAGGAUGGGCGGAGCUCUGGAGGCCGCCGGGACCAGCCCCCCAGCAUUGACCUGGAUGCCUGCCACAGCCUCCUCCCUGGUCUCCGGCCUCCCACCUCUGCUCCUCGGUCUCCUCUACCCAGCCAGUAACUGCAGAGAGCACUAAAGCACAGUCCUGGCAUCUCACCCCCUUAACCCUGGCCACGGCUUCCCAGUGCCUCCAAGAUAAAGCACCAACACCUGAGGACAGCAGCUUGUUUUGAGAGUCCCCUCCAUUGAAACACGCACAUCUAAUUUGUCCUUCAGUUCGCUGGACUCCACGCUGAACGUGCCAUGCUCCAUUGCCCCGUGAGUAACUCCAUGCUCUUGCCGGUUUCACACGGCCUCUCAGAGCUGGAGCCUUUGUUCAGGAGCCCUGGGCAGCUUUCAGGAAGCUCUUGGGCUCAUCAGCUUCCUCUGGCUGAAGCCGCCCCAGUGGAAUCAUGGGGAUUUCUUACUUUGAAGGUGGGGCCACCCGCAGACUGUAACCGGCUGGUUCAAGAUCAAGGACUUCCCCAGGCCACCUGCCUCAGAGGCAAGAAAGGCUCAGCUGAGUCCCAGACACUCCUCGCUGUGGCCCCUCCUUCCUCCCUGCUGGGCAGGCCCCCCUCAAUUCUGUUUGCCAGCAGGGCCUAGUAACACUGAAAGACGAAAAGGGAAAUAAAAUAAACACAAUUAAUAGGCUAAAGGUUACUGAAUAAAGUGGCAGCAGUAAAUAAAUUGACUACUGUGCAAAUACAAAGACAUGAAGACAUGAAACCCCUGCUCUAAAUGACCACUCACCAAGAGCAAGGCCUGGGCUGGAGGCAGGGAGCACCUCCCUAAGGAGCACUCCCUCUUUCCCGGAGUGAGUCCUCCUUCUAGAUGGAAUUCAGUCCGGGUUCCUCUUGAGCCACAGUCCCUGUUGGGGCCUAUCUCAGUGGACUCAAGAUCCUGAACUUCUUCCAGAUUGCUGACUACACAUUUGAGUCACCCAGAGAUUAAAAGAAAAAACAAAUAA
rnacentral:lncRNA from 1 species